AAUUUUGGGACCUGAGGCUGGAGAUAUCUGUAGUGGUGAACUUAUGAAAGCUCUCAACACGUCUAGGAAUUUGGGUUCUAACCUUUCACAGUUUUAUCAUGGAGAAAUGAGGUGACAGUGUUUUCAACUUUCCAUUACUAUAUAAAGCAUCUGAAAUGAAUUUCAGUUUCCUCCAUAUUAUUCUAUCACUCCAGCUCAGGUUCAGUGGAAAGAAAAUCACAUUAAGGGAUGCCUGGGAGACUCAGUGGUUGAACGUCUGCCUUUCGAUCAGGUUAUGAUCACGGAGU